rnacentral:rRNA from 1 species
CAUUGUGUCUUCGAGUCGUUGAUUUCACACUGCCGAGAAAAGCCUCUAGAUAGAAAAUAGGUGCCCGUACCGCAAACCGACACAGGUAGUCAAGAUGAGAAUUCUAAGGUGAGCGAGCGAACUCUCGUUAAGGAACUCGGCAAAAUGACCCCGUAACUUCGGGAGAAGGGGUGCUCUUUAGGGUUAACGCCCAGAAGAGCCGCAGUGAAUAGGCCCAAGCGACUGUUUAUCAAAAACACAGGUCUCUGCUAAACCGUAAGGUGAUGUAUAGGGGCUGACGCCUGCCCGGUGCUGGAAGGUUAAGAGGAGUGGUUAGCUUCUGCGAAGCUACGAAUCGAAGCCCCAGUAAACGGCGGCCGUAACUAUAACGGUCCUAAGGUAGCGAAAUUCCUUGUCGGGUAAGUUCCGACCCGCACGAAAGGCGUAACGAUUUGGGCACUGUCUCAACGAGAGACUCGGUGAAAUCAUAGUACCUGUGAAGAUGCAGGUUACCCGCGACAGGACGGAAAGACCCCGUGGAGCUUUACUGUAGCCUGAUAUUGAAAUUCGGCACAGCUUGUACAGGAUAGGUAGGAGCCUUUGAAACGUGAGCGCUAGCUUACGUGGAGGCGCUGGUGGGAUACUACCCUAGCUGUGUUGGCUUUCUAACCCGCACCACUUAUCGUGGUGGGAGACAGUGUCAGGCGGGCAGUUUGACUGGGGCGGUCGCCUCCUAAAAGGUAACGGAGGCGCUCAAAGGUUCCCUCAGAAUGGUUGGAAAUCAUUCAUAGAGUGUAAAGGCAUAAGGGAGCUUGACUGCGAGACCUACAAGUCGAGCAGGGUCGAAAGACGGACUUAGUGAUCCGGUGGUUCCGCAUGGAAGGGCCAUCGCUCAACGGAUAAAAGCUACCCCGGGGAUAACAGGCUUAUCUCCCCCAAGAGUUCACAUCGACGGGGAGGUUUGGCACCUCGAUGUCGGCUCAUCGCAUCCUGGGGCUGUAGUCGGUCCCAAGGGUUGGGCUGUUCGCCCAUUAAAGCGGUACGCGAGCUGGGUUCAGAACGUCGUGAGACAGUUCGGUCCCUAUCCGUCGUGGGCGUAGGAAAUUUGAGAGGAGCUGUCCUUAGUACGAGAGGACCGGGAUGGACAUACCUCUGGUGUACCAGUUGUCGUGCCAACGGCAUAGCUGGGUAGCUAUGUGUGGACGGGAUAAGUGCUGAAAGCAUCUAAGCAUGAAGCCCCCCUCAAGAUGAGAUUUCCCAACUUCGGUUAUAAGAUCCCUCAAAGAUGAUGAGGUUAAUAGGUUCGAGGUGGAAGCAUGGUGACAUGUGGAGCUGACGAAUACUAAUCGAUCGAAGACUUAAUCAA